CACAGAUGUGGGUUGCAGAUGUGGAAGGUGUCCUCAGGUCCAUGAUGAGACAGCUGAAUGCUUCUCUGGAGAAAUAUCCUCAUUUUAAAAGUGGAAACACCCCAGAAUGUCAUCCUCCAUCUUCUUUAAACCACAUCAGGUCCCUCUACAAUCAACCAGCUAAUCCGUAGAGGCGGCUUUAGAUGUUUUUAAACUAUUUGAAGGCAGAACUCAAUAGGUUUUAAACUAUUGAUUGUUAUAAACGUUUACUUGUUUAUUAUUCCAGCAUGAUGGGGACACCAAAGAUUAGCUGCCAUACAGCGUUGUGUCUUUGUGCCAUGAGCCCUAAAAUUGUAGCAUAAAGUAUAGUUGUUUAAACCCAGUUUUCUUGGUAAACCUCACCACUUGGAUUGGUCAUGCAAGGAUCCCUUACCCUAAGCUGUUUAUUAAUUUCACACCCGAUUGUCUCAAUCCACUGUCCCAUGAGCAACGAAAAGAAGUUUCCAAUUUGAGGUUAUCCUGGAACGACUGCUAACUUUUUGAUCAUUACUCUGCUGACCUGACCAGAAAUAAACCAGUAUUUUCCUUGAUGUA